CAGGAAUCUGACGACUCUGGGUGCUUCAUACAAGUGGAAUCGUGCAGUGGCUGGCUCGUCUCGAGCACAGUCCUUCUACUUCUGCAAAAAACAAGUCUGCUGUGUUGUACCUGCGGCAGCCUCAUCGCUCUCGUGUCGACCGCAUCUCCUGGUUGCAUCAAGGGGAUGGGCCUGGGCUGGCUGCCAUCACCGUCUCCCCAGCCUGCACCCCACUGGCGGAAACCAAGCUGGAACCCCACUGGUGAGGUCAUCGAGGUGUGGGUCUCGGGCUUCCCAGCCCUGAAAAUUGAGGAGAGAACAAAGAAGCAAGGAGAGAUGCGUGGUCAGCCCAUCCAGCAUACA